rnacentral:rRNA from 13 species
AUAGGCGAAGGCGCAGCGAAAGCGAGUCUGAAUAGGGCGUCAAGUUCGUUGGAUUAGACCCGAAACCGAGUGAUCUAGCCAUGUGCAGGUUGAAGGUGCGGUAACACGCACUGGAGGACCGAACCCACGCCUGUUGAAAAAGUCGGGGAUGAGCUGUGGCUAGGGGUGAAAGGCCAAUCAAACUCGGAAAUAGCUGGUUCUCCGCGAAAUCUAUUUAGGUAGAGCGUCGGAUGAAUACUCUCGGGGGUAGAGCACUGGAUGGGCUAUGGGGGCUUACCGCCUUACUGAUCCUAACCAAACUCCGAAUACCGAGAAGUACUAUCCGGCAGACACACAGUGGGUGCUAACGUCCAUUGUGGAGAGGGAAACAACCCUGACCGCCAGUUAAGGUCCCUAAGUUAUGGCUAAGUGGGAAAGGAUGUAGAGAUCCCAAAACAACCAGGAUGUUGGCUUAGAAGCAGCCAUCAUUUAAAGAAAGCGUAACAGCUCACUGGUCUAAAUAAGGGUCUCCGCGCCGAAAAUGUACCGGGGCUCAAGCCAUACACCGAAACUGCGGGUGUGCACUUUAAGUGCAUGCGGUAGCGGAGCGUUCUGUAAGUCUGCGAAGGGAGACCCGCGAGGGCUCCUGGAGAUAUCAGAAGUGCGAAUGCUGACAUGAGUAACGAUAAAGGGAGUGAGAGACUCCCUCGCCGAAAGUCCAAGGGUUCCUGCUCAACGCUAAUCGGAGCAGGGUUAGUCGGCCCCUAAGGCGAGGCCGAAAGGCGUAGUCGAUGGGAAACAGGUUAAUAUUCCUGUACUUGGUGGUAGUGACGGAUGCCGUGUGUUGUAUCUCCUUAUUGGAUUGGGGGUGCAGCGAAGGUGUUCCAGGAAAUAGCUCCACCGUAUAAACCGUACCCGAAACCGACACAGGUGGACUGGUAGAGAAUACCAAGGCGCUUGAGAGAACUAUGCUGAAGGAACUCGGCAAAAUGCUCCCGUAAGUUCGCGAGAAGGGAGACCUGUACUUGGGCAACCAGGUAUAGGUGGCACAGAAAUGGGGGUGGCGACUGUUUAUCAAAAACACAGGG